UUUGGUUACAGAUAGCAUAACGAAAGGACCAUGGGGUCUGGACAGACAGUGGCUCGAGUCCCAGCUCUGGCUGUCACCGGCUUCAAGACCUUAGGCCAGCUCCCCACUCUUCGGAGCCUCAGUUUUGCCAUCCAUAAAAUACAGGCAGAAAAUAUCUACCUUACAAGCAAAGUCUCAAGUACCAAGGGAAGGCAACUCUGCACCCGAGCUGCUGUUUUGAGCCAGAAGCCACGAGAUGUCUCUAAACAACGAGAACUGCUCUAGUCAUGGAAAGAAUGCGUCGUAAAUUCCAGUGGAAAAGAUGGAAACCUUUUGUUUAGAUGGGGCACAAGUCAUUAUCAUUUUACUUCAGAUUGUUUUACAGUGUUAUAGAAAGGGCCAAAUCAGCCAUAACCAAGACCUGCUAACCCUGAGGACCUCACGUAUCUUAUUUCUUAGUAAAUAUUGAAAGGAGUUCUGUAACUCAUUAAUUAUCCUUAAUGAAUAAUGGUGACUUGCCCUUAUAUUUUGUUUUCCCCUCUUGAUGCUGAAACCAUGAAACCAAAUGCAAAAGCUUGGACACUUUGGAAAAAGACAAUAGCAAUUAUGUGGGCUACUGCUGUCCAAACAUAGCAGCAUUCGUUAAUGGCACUGUGGCUCUCUCAAGUUACCGAUUAAGCAUUAAAAAUAGAAACAUGGC